GCCGCAGGGGAGCGUCAGGUUUGUGACCGCCCGCGCCUGUGGCCCCUGGCGGCCGCGGGGCUCUCUGGGAGCCGGGCCGCCCUCAGCGGGGGACACCUCGGGGACCCGGGCGACGCCGCCCCUGCAGCGCCUCGCGUCAGGCCUGGGAGCGGGGCCGCACGUGAGGAGGAAGACGCUUGCGGGCACUUCCGGCCUCGCUCCGCCUCCUUUUGGGGAAAGGAAACGCCAAACCCGUGCUUCUGCCCGGAAGGAGCGGGCCGCCCCUCGCGCGGCCGCCUGCGCGUCUGGGAACCCCCGGGCCCGCGUCUCCCGGCCCCUCCGGCCGCGGUGAACCGAGUGAACCAAGCCGCGGCGGCGACGGACUCUGCAGGCUCCCCUGCAAUUACGCCACCUCCCACCGGCUCCCACCGGCUCCCACCGGCUCCCUGAAAGGGGCUGGAGGCCACGGCUUCUGCCUCAGUUUUCCCAGCUGCUUCCUCCGAGGUGUGAGGUCUGGCUCCUAACUUGCGGGUCUCUGGCAGAUGAGGAAAUGAGUCACAGUGAAACCAGAUGACUUUCCUAGAUCACAAAGCUAGUAAGAAGUGAACCAAAGACUUCAAUCUGAGUAGCUUUGUUUGGAGUCCUGUGGACAUUAUUGGAACUUCUGGCGACAUGUGAUAAACAACAAUAAAUAAAACUACAUAUUACAUACAAGAGAGUAUGGGAAACUUGUCAAAGUGAUAUAAGAAUCCAAAGAGAAAAAAUAUAACACUGGCUUGGAAAUGGAAUGACAACAUAUUAGUCUGGGGCAGUAUUUUUAACAAGUGCUUUUUCCCAGGAGUUACCCUGAGCUCAUGAGGGAAUAUCUCGAUUGUGGAAUUUCAAACUGAAUAGAUAUUACACUUAUGGAUGCUAUACAAUAUCAACUAUUCACCAGAGAGACUGAUGAUUAAAAAAUCUUCCAAGGAUAUCUAUGUAAAUAUUUAUCUUGUAUAACAUAUUUUAUAUAUUUUAUUUUAGAUUUGGCAUGUUGAGAGAUAAUUUUGUUCUUUGACAUUAAUUUUAAUCCUAUGGGGGUAGGGUGGUGGUGGAAAUAGUUCACAAAGAUUUCUUGGGCAGACAAAAAUGUUGAUAGUCAGACAUAAUAGGAUUUGCAGCUAUUUUAAGUCAAAAUGAGUUCUUUAAUUCUCAUGUAGUGAAGGUAGAAUUAAUUCAUUACUAACCUCACAACAAAUUUCAAGGAAACUAGGUCUGCUGUAACUGUUAAAUUGUGAUAGAAAUUAGGAAAUGUUGAAAUGGUCUCAUCAAGAAACUGCAUAAUGUCAUUUAGUGCAUUAGCAGAGGCCCCCAAAUCUUGUUCAAAAGUGUCUUUUUCUAUCUUUAUUUCACCAUUGCGUGGCUCAUUUGAAACAGCCAGCAUGUCUGAAGCAGUUUAUAACUGUGGCUAAAGAAACUAUUCAGCACAGCUCGUUAACUAGCAAUUUUACCUCAAGACCAUCCUAAGUAUUUGAUUCCUCGUGGUUUAUUCUUCUGAACAGAAAAUAAAUAAAUAAAUAGUGCAUGCUAUAAAUAUACUUCUUGAGUGUGGGUUGUUUCUUGAUGAGUCAACUGAUAAUAUUAAUUCAGUUUGUUGGCUAACAACGAUUGUGUUGUGCGUGUCUGUGCAUGGAUUGCUAGGGUAGCGACAAAAUUCUUUAAACAACAGCAGUUUGAAUGCUUAAUGUUCUAUCUUUGUUGUUAAUUCCUUCCUCUUCCCCUGAAGUUUCAUAAAGUGAAGACGGUCAAGUAAUCUGGGUUCUAGUCCCUGUUGUAUAGUUGGCUCGAUAUACCUGAGUAAACACCAAAACAAUGCUGA